CCUACGGGUGGCUGCAGUGGGGAAUCUUGGGCAAUGGGCGCAAGCCUGACCCAGCAAAGCCGCGUGAAGGAAGAAGGCUUUCGGGUUGUAAACUUCUUUUAUCAGGGACGAAGCAAGUGACGGUACCUGAUGAAUAAGCCACGUCUAAAUACGUGCCAGCAGCUGAGGUAAUACGUAGGUGGCAAGCGUUCCCCGGCUGUACUGGGUGUAAAGGGGGUGUAGGCGGGAAAGCACGUCAGAUGUGAAAACCAUGGGGUCCACCUGUGGCCUGCAUUUGAACCUGUUUGUCUUGAGUACUGUAGAGGCAGACGGAAUUCGUAGUGUAGCGGGGAAAUGCGUAGAUAUUAGGAGGAACACCAGUGGCGAAGGCGGUCUGCUGGACAGCAACUGACGCUGAUGCGCGAAAGCGUGGGGAGCAAACAGGAUUAGAUACCCUUGUAGUC
rnacentral:rRNA from 1 species